rnacentral:lncRNA from 1 species
GGCGGCUCUGCCCCUCAGCAGGCCACUGCGCCUGUUCUGCCCAGAAGUAAAUCUUAAUUAAAAUGAAAGAUUUUGGCAAAGAUGAGGAAAUGGCAAGAGUCAUCCUACUGAGAGUUAUCCCCCUACCCCCAGCAGCACUGGGACUGGGGAUUGAACCUGGAGCCUCGUGCAGGAUAGGAGAGCAGUGUACUCCUGAGCUAUAUCCCAAGCCCAGGAGAGAUAGCCAUCCUACUGAUGUGCAGGAGGUGGUUUGUGGGUGGACAUGAACCCCUGUCUAGGAAGUGAACAUUUAUUUUUGCAGCACUCAGAAGGGCUCUUAAAAUUCAGGACUUUCUCCCACCUUUAGAUUGCAUAGUCUCUCCUCCUUUGGAGCAUUCUGGGAUUCCCUAUGUCUCCUAGAACUGUCCCAUUCCUUCUAGAAGGGUGUUUAAAUUUUUUAAAAAUUUGUGUUCCAAAGUCCGUGUGAAAUUGUAACAUAAUAAGAAAUAAAUGUUUGAGCUUCAUCCCUAGUUCCUGGAAGGGGUGAAAGGAGCACAUUUUGUUAUUAAUAAUAAGGUUUCUUUUUCAUUCAUAACUGAGUUUAUGCUCAUGAAGUGACUUUUGGUAGAUGGGGGCUGGUUGCCAGAGUAACUGACUGUGUGACUAGAACUUGCAGCCCCACCACCUGACUUCUGAGGAAAGGAGAGGUGUUGGAGAUUAAAAUCAAUCAUCAGUGGCCCAUGAUUUAAUCAAUUGCACCUGUGACAUGAAGACUUCACAAAAACCCUGAGCAGUGGGGUUUGGAGAACUUCCAGGUUGGUGAACAAGAACAUGUGCCCUGUGCCAGGAGAAUGAUGCACCCAAAAGUCAGAGACAGAAGCUCCUAUGCUCAGGACCCUUUCUGGACCUUUCACCCUGUGUAUCUCUUCAACCAGAUGUUCAUUUAUAUACUUUAAAAUCUCCUUUGAAAUAAAUUGGUAAUACAGGUAAUAAUAAACAAGUCCCGGCCAAGUGUGGUGGUGCACACCUGUAAUUCCAGCCGCCCGGGAGGCUGAGACUGAAGGAUCGCGAGUUCAAAGCCAACCUCAGCAAUGGUGAGGUGCUUAGCAACUCAGUGAGGCCCUGUCUCUAAAUAGAAUACAAAAUAGGUCUGGGGAUGUGGCUCAGUGGUUAAGUGCCCCUGAGUCCAAUCCCCAGUACCAAUAAACCAUCAAACAAAUAAAUAAAACAAGUCCUUUCCCCCAAGUUCUAUGAAUCAAACAAUCAAACCCUGGGAAUCCCUGAUUUAUCACGUUGGUUAGAGGGUGGGAGGCCUGUACUCAUGGCUGCUGUCUGCACUGCUGUCUUGUGGGACUGAGCCCACAGCAUAGGGAUCCGAUACAGCUCCAGGAAGGCACUGUGAAGGUUAAGUUGAAUUGAGACAAACUCAUCAGUAUUUAGAAAAUUGGAGAAUUAUUUGGUGUUAAAAGUAUUGUGAAAAAAAAAGAUUGUUUUGUUUGCUUUGCUUGGUUGGGUGGGGGGAGUCCACUGGCAUACUGAGACUUUUGAGUGUGACCCUAUUAGACAGGCGGGUGUUUCAAGAAAUUUCAUAGACUUAACUGGCCCCCUGAUAUAAAUACCCAUGGGUUAGCAUAAGGAAAGAGUUUGGAGGACUUGCUAGAUUAUUUACCAACAUCUCAGCAUAUAUUUGGAAGUCAG